rnacentral:misc_RNA from 1 species
UUUCCGUAGGUGAACCUGCGGAAGGAUCAUUACUGAGUGAGGGCCCUCUGGGUCCAACCCCCCACCCGUGUUUAUUGUACCUUGUUGCUUCGGUGCGCCCGCCUCACGGCCGCCGGGGGGCUUCUGCCCCCGGGUCCGCGCGCACCGGGGUCACCAUUGAACUCUGUCUGAAGAUUGCAGUCUGAGCAUAAACUAAAUAAGUUAAAACUUUCAACAACGGAUCUCUUGGUUCCG